AAAUUUCAUCUUCAAUCUUAAACUUCAUCCCAAUCUCUAAUCCAUAAAUCCAAAAACAUAAAAACUCAUAAAUUUCUUCAAAAACAUAAAAACUCAUUGUUCAGAUCUAAAUUUUGUUGUUUUGAUUUUCCAAAAAAUUAAAUCAAAUGAAUGAUGAUCGAAGAAUUGGUGUUGUUGUUGUUCUUGUUGUUGAACUUGUUUUUUUGCUAACCCAUAUCAUUCACCAAGAUUUUAUUUCUGGAACUCAAUGUUUAUUAUCUCUUGAUUUGGUUUCUGCGGCGUAGAGAGCGAGAGAGGAGAGGGAUGAAGGAGUGGAUUCUCGAACGGGCUUUGGAGACAGAUUCCCACCAAGAGUGCAUAGGGUUGUUGGAGUUGAUUCUGUUAGGGUUGUUGUUGGUGGUGGUGGUUAUGGAGGAGGUGGAAGAAGAGUUUGAAUUAGAGAUGAUGAAUUCUUGUUACGGUAGUGUUGCUCAACUUCAUUUUGCCGUAACAAAUUGAAAGUUAAUGAUGCUGUUGUUCUUCUUUCAGAUUUUUUAGCCAAUAUUUAUCUAUGGGUCACCAAUUAAAUUAAUCAAAAUUAAUUGGAACUUUUCAUAGGGAUUGGAAGAAGAUGGUGGUGGAAUGUUUUAGAUAUUGGAGCAAUUGCAAUUCAUGGAAUAUUAUAGUGGAAGGAAAAUACAAAGCCUGAUUUUUUCAUAAGCUAGAUUAGAGUAGUUUUUGAUGGU
rnacentral:lncRNA from 1 species